rnacentral:rRNA from 1 species
GAGUUUGAUCGUGGCUCAGGACGAACGCUGGCGGCGUGCCUAACACAUGCAAGUCGAACGGGGUAAAGAGCUUUCGGUUUUUACUUAGUGGCGAACGGGUGAGUAACGCGUGAGGAACCUGCCUUUCAGUGGGGGACAACAGUUGGAAACGACUGCUAAUACCGCAUGACACUUCUGGGUGGCAUCACUUAGAAGUCAAAGCUUUAUGUGCUGAAAGAUGGCCUCGCGUCUGAUUAGCUAGUUGGUGGGGUAACGGCCCACCAAGGCGACGAUCAGUAGCCGGUCUGAGAGGAUGAACGGCCACAUUGGGACUGAGAUACGGCCCAGACUCCUACGGGAGGCAGCAGUGGGGAAUAUUGGGCAAUGGGGGAAACCCUGACCCAGCAACGCCGCGUGAAGGAAGAAGGCCCUCGGGUUGUAAACUUCUUUUACCAGGG